CGUGUAGGCGGUUAGAGAAGUUAACGGUGAAAUAAUCGGGCUUAACCUGGUUGCUGCCGUUAAAACUGACUAGCUAGAGUGAAGUAGAGGGAAGUGGAAUUUCCAGUGUAGCGGUGAAAUGCGUAGAGAUUGGAAAGAACACCAUUGGCGAAGGCGCUUCCUGGACUAGAACUGACGCUAAAGCGCGAAAGCAUGGGGAGCAAACA
rnacentral:rRNA from 1 species